GAGAUGCAAGUUGGGAGUGAAAUCCAUGGGCUCAACCCAUGAACUGCUUUCAAAACUGUAUCCCUUGAGUAUCGGAGAGGCAAGCGGAAUUCCUAGUGUAGCGGUGAAAUGCGUAGAUAUUAGGAGGAACACCAGUGGCGAAGGCGGCUUGCUGGACGACAACUGACGCUGAGGCGCGAAAGCGUGGGGAGCAAACAGGAUUAGAUACCCUGGUAGUCCACGCUGUAAACGAUGAAUACUAGGUGUGGGAGGACUGACCCCUUCCGUGCCGCAGUUAACACAAUAAGUAUUCCACCUGGGGAGUACGACCGCAAGGUUGAAACUCAAAGGAAUUGACGGGGGCCCGCACAAGCAGUGGAUUAUGUGGUUUAAUUCGACGCAACGCGAAGAACCUUACCAGGAUUUGACAUCCAACUAACGAAGUAGAGAUACAUUAGGUGCCCUUCGGGGAAAGUUGAGACAGGUGGUGCAUGGUUGUCGUCAGCCCGUGUCGUGAGAUGUUGGGUUAAGUCCCGCAACGAGCGCAACCCCUAUUGUUAGUUGCUACGCAAGAGCACUCUAGCGAGACUGCCGUUGACAAAACGGAGGAAGGCGGGGACGACGUCAAAUCAUCAUGCCCCUUAUGUCCUGGGCUACACACGUAAUACAAUGGCCGUCAACAAAGGGAAGCAAUACCGCGAGGUGGAGCAAACCCCCAAAAACGGUCUCAGUUCGGAUUGCAGGCUGCAACUCGCCUGCAUGAAGCUGGAAUUGCU
rnacentral:rRNA from 1 species